rnacentral:rRNA from 1 species
UACGUAGGGUGCGAGCGUUGUCCGGAAUUAUUGGGCGUAAAGAGCUUGUAGGCGGUUUGUCGCGUCUGCUGUGAAAAUCCGGGGCUCAACCCCGGACUUGCAGUGGGUACGGGCAGACUAGAGUGUGGUAGGGAGACUGGAAUUCCUGGUGUAGCGGUGAAAUGCGCAGAUAUCAGGAGGAACACCGAUGGCGAAGGCAGGUCUCUGGGCCACUACUGACGCUGAGAAGCGAAAGCAUGGGAGCGAACAGGAUUAGAU